rnacentral:tRNA from 1 species
UCCCGUGUGGCUCAGUUGGCAGAGCAUGGUGUUUGCAACGCCAGGGUUGUGAGUUCGAUUCCCACGGGGG